rnacentral:snRNA from 1 species
GGCAGGGGAGAUACCAUGAUCAGCAAGGUGGUUUUCCCAGCGUGAGGUUCAUCCAUUGCACUGCGGGUGUGCUGACCUCUGUGAUUUCCCCAAAUGUGGGAAACUCAACUGCAGAAUUUGUGGUAGUGGGGGACUGCGUUCGCGCUUUCCCCUG